UGACUGCGUACCUUUUGUAUAAUGGGUCAGCGACUUAUAUUCUGUAGCAAGGUUAACCGAAUAGGGGAGCCGGAGGGAAACCGAGUCUUAAUUGGGCGUUAAGUUGCAGGGUAUAGACCCGAAACCCGGUGAUCUAGCCAUGGGCAGGUUGAAGGUUGGGUAACACUAACUGGAGGACCGAACCGACUAAUGUUGAAAAAUUAGCGGAUGACCUGUGGCUGGGGGUGAAAGGCCAAUCAAACCGGGAGAUAGCUGGUUCUCCCCGAAAGCUAUUUAGGUAGCGCCUCGUGAAUUCAUCUCCGGGGGUAGAGCACUGUUUCGGCUAGGGGGCCAUCCCGGCUUACCAACCCGAUGCAAACUGCGAAUACCGGAGAAUGUUAUCACGGGAGACACACGGCGGGUGCUAACGUCCGUCGUGAAGAGGGAAACAACCCAGACCGCCAGCUAAGGUCCCAAAGUCAUGGUUAAGUGGGAAACGAUGUGGGAAGGCCCAGACAGCCAGGAUGUUGGCUUAGAAGCAGCCAUCAUUUAAAGAAAGCGUAAUAGCUCACUGGUCGAGUCGGCCUGCGCGGAAGAUGUAACGGGGCUAAACCAUGCACCGAAGCUGCGGCAGCGACGCUGAUGCGUUGUUGGGUAGGGGAGCGUUCUGUAAGCCUGCGAAGGUGGCCUGUGAGGGUUGCUGGAGGUAUCAGAAGUGCGAAUGCUGACAUAAGUAACGAUAAAGCGGGUGAAAAGCCCGCUCGCCGGAAGACCAAGGGUUCCUGUCCAACGUUAAUCGGGGCAGGGUGAGUCGACCCCUAAGGCGAGGCCGAAAGGCGUAGUCGAUGGGAAACGGGUUAAUAUUCCCGUACUUGGUGUUACUGCGAAGGGGGGACGGAGAAGGCUAUGUUGGCCGGGCGACGGUU
rnacentral:rRNA from 2 species